GUCCUGUGUUGGUAAGCAGCUACACUGCAAUGACAGACUAUCAGUGUUUCCUCUCUGUUUGCUUAAUUCAUUUUUGCAGACAUUGCCAUGCUUCCUGGAGAACAGCAAUGUGUUUUUAGUGCUUCAGGCAAUAUUUGAUUCCCUGUUUGUUGUGGGAAAAUUAGUUAUCUCCUCGUGAAGGAGAAAGACAUGAGUCACUGUGUGGACCUAAGCAAUUAAUUUUGUCUCCCCAUCAGAGACUGGUCAGACUGCUAUUCCCAGUGAAAUUAAGACUUGUUGUAGCCUCUACCCCAAUUAGUCCAGAUUUCAAUUGCCAUUAAAGAGUAUGAGAGUUUAUUUACAAAAAGAAAAGAUUUGGGGAUCUUACACUAAUGCUGCAGGGACAACAUAAGGCCCUGCUGUGAGUUUGUUCUCAGCCAUGAGGUCACAAGGCCCUACUAAGACUGUGCUGGGCUGUGGGUUCACAAGGCCCUACUAUGGACUCUGUGCUGGGCCAUGAGGUUACAGUGCUGCACUGUGACGUUACAUUGGGCUGUGAGGUCACAAGGCCCCACUGUGACACUGUGUCAGGCUGUGAGGUGACAAAGCCUGCUGUGACGCUGUUCUGGUCAAUGAGGUUACAAUACUGUGCUGUGACACUGUGUCAUGCAGUGAAACCACAAGUGAAACCCUGCUGUGAUGCUGUGCCAAGCUGGGACAUCACAAGGUCCUGCUGUGACCAUGUGUUGGGUCAUGAGGGUACAACUCCAUUCUGUGAAGCUGUGCUGGGAUGGAUCUCAAAGCACUUCAGAAAGGACAAUGGUAGUUUCAUAAAGGAGCACCUACAGUGUGGAGGACCAAAGUGACUUGCCCUAAGAUCAAGGCCAGAUUGGCUUCUUGUCUUAAUAUAUCAAUAUAUAUAUAUUUUACUAAUAAAGCAAGAUCACAAAUGAAACCCUAACUCCUU
rnacentral:lncRNA from 1 species